UACGUAGGGGGCAAGCGUUGUCCGGAUUUAUUGGGCGUAAAGAGCGUGUAGGCGGCUUGGAAGGUCAGCUGUGAAAACUCGAGGCUCAACCUCGAGACGUCGGUUGAAACCACCUGGCUAGAGUCCGGAAGAGGAGAGUGGAAUUCCCGGUGUAGCGGUGAAAUGCGCAGAUAUCGGGAAGAACACCCGUGGCGAAGGCGGCUCUCUGGGCCUUACCUGACGCUCAGGUGCGAAAGCUAGGGGAGCGAACAGG
rnacentral:rRNA from 1 species